GAUGAACGCUAGCUACAGGCUUAACACAUGCAAGUCGCGGGGCAGCAUGGGGGUUGCUUGCAAUCCCCGAUGGCGACCGGCGCACGGGUGAGUAACGCGUAUCCAACCUGCCCUUCACCACGGGAUAACCCGGCGAAAGUCGGACUAAUACCGUAUGUUGUCCAUUGACGGCAUCCGAUUUGGACGAAAGGCUUGGCGGUGAGGGAUGGGGAUGCGUCCGAUUAGCCAGACGGCGGGGUAACGGCCCACCGUGGCUACGAUCGGUAGGGGUUCUGAGAGGAAGGUCCCCCACACGGGAACUGAGACACGGUCCAGACUCCUACGGGAGGCAGCAGUGAGGAAGAUUGGUCAAUGGGCGUAAGCCUGAACCAGCCAAGUAGCGUGCAGGAUGACGGCCCUAUGGGUUGUAAACUGCUUUUAUGCGGGGAUAAAGUGGCCCACGUGUGGGCUUUUGCAGGUACCGCAUGAAUAAGGACCGGCUAAUUCCGUG
rnacentral:rRNA from 1 species